UGAUGGAGAAGCCCAACAUACGGUGGAAC
rnacentral:piRNA from 1 species